rnacentral:antisense_RNA from 2 species
CUUCAUGGUAGCUGUGCGCAGGGCGCCUUCGGGCGCGCCGGUUUGAUACUCCCCCGGUCGACUAACCUGCGUACAGCUGCCACCCCU